CAAAAGAAAUGUAUGUUUAACAAAUUUCACUGACUUUUCCCCUUGAAAUUAUACACGUAUAUCAUAAUCUCCCUGUCAUUUUUCUUGCACGUCUACAUCUCUGGACGUUGGAACCUAAGCCAAAUUCUCAAUUCUAAUCCGCUCUCACUAAUUUGAUUGCUUCCUCAUUCAUUCAUCCCUCUACUUGCAAUGUUAAUCAAUGCCAAUCCGCAAAGUUGAAGCAGAAAAAAGGGGAAAGUUUCAUGGAAUUUCCUGGUUUGGAAGCUCAUCAUUAGUCUGAGCAAAUUCUUCGGUAAAAGCUUUUUGGUUUUCCAGCAUUUCAAGGUAACCCGACCUAGUUAUGAGCCUUUUUUUUCUCCUUUUUUGGGUUCAUGGUCUAUAGUUUUCUGUCCUUGAAGUGUUUUCCCAUUUUAGCUGCAUAAUUCUCGAGACAAAAAUUCAAUUCACAUGCGAAACAAUGAAACAACGAAAAUCAAAGAACUUCUUGCAGUAAAAAUGAUUUAGUUGGACUUGGCACUGUGCAAAUCCAGGAUAACCAAUUAGGAACGCCUAGUGAUUGAGUUAUCAAACAUUGGAAAAUUAAGAUAAAUAAUUAAUUUUGGAAAAAAAUGAAAGGAAUGAUAAACCAAUGCAUGUGGCGACAAGCAAGAGAAACAAAAGGUGAACAUUCAAAUUGUAGUUUAAGCUUGAUUGUAGUUUAGUUUGGUGGUAAUCUUUCCCUUUCAAUUGUUGAAUAUAAUAAGUUCUGUCAUGAUCUCCACCCAUUUGAUGGUUUCAACUAAAGAUGGCAGUUGAUUUCAAGUCCCAAUGACCUAUUUAUUGGUGCUUCAAAAUUCCAAGUUUUUCUUCGAAAUUUUAUAAACAUUGUAUGAACUAAUCUACUUUUGCCAGUUGAAGAAAUCUGGAUGACCUUACGUUGCAUAAUUAUUGGAUUUUUUUUAAAU
rnacentral:lncRNA from 1 species